CCGAUUACGAUGAUUCAGGCGUUUCUCUUACUCCCCAAGAUGACAAUUCCCUUUAAAGCGAGUUUCCAUCGCUCAAUCGUUCAAUCCAUCUCCAUCGUUCAAUCGUCCCUCCCAUCUUCUCUCAAUCUUCCAUCGUUCAAUCCAUCUUCAUACGACGAUUCAGGCAUUUCUCUCAAUCGUUCAAUCCAUCUCCAUCUCUAGUUGGAAGGUCAUUGUUGGAAGACUCAAGACUCAAUUCAAGGUGAUCCAUUGACUAGUCUAGGUUUCCCACAUACCCUUUCAUUGAAGAUCUUCAUAUUCUCUGGUACUCGAUUUCCCACAUACCCUUUCAUUUAUUCAUUAUUAAAACCUGGAUCUACUGUGUUAUAGAUGAUGGAUAGUUUCCUGUCAUAUUUUACUUUUUGUUGGAUUUUAUCUUUGAAUUUGACUUGAAACCCGAAUUUAUGAAGUGGGUAGUUUCCUGUC